GACGAACGCUGGCGGCGUGCUUAACACAUGCAAGUCGAACGGAAAGGCCUCUUUCGGGGGGUACUCGAGUGGCGAACGGGUGAGUAACACGUGAGUAACCUGCCCUUGACUUUGGGAUAACUUCAGGAAACUGGGGCUAAUACCGGAUAGGAGCUCCUGCUGCAUGGUGGGGGCUGGAAAGUUUCGGCGGUUGGGGAUGGACUCGCGGCUUAUCAGCUUGUUGGUGGGGUAGUGGCUUACCAAGGCUUUGACGGGUAGCCGGCCUGAGAGGGUGACCGGCCACAUUGGGACUGAGAGACGGCCCAGACUCCUACGGGAGGCAGCAGUGGGGAAUAUUGCACAAUGGGUGGAAGCCUGAUGCAGCAACGCCGUGUGCGGGAUGACGGCCUUCGGGUUGUAAACCGCUUUCGCUCAUGACGAAGCUUUGUGUGACGGUAGUGGGUAAAGAAGCACCGGCUAACUACGUG
rnacentral:rRNA from 1 species